ACGCCUGGGGUACCCUCCAUGCACCUUAGUCCACGCCAAUUUGCCAAAUAGAUAUUGCGGUGUGCCAGUGCUCAAACCAGUUACGAGGAGCUUGGAUUUCUUGGGGUUCAGGACAAGACAGUUUGUUUUGCACCACCUUGAGAUUGUCUUUAG